UACGUAGGGUGCAAGCGUUGUCCGGAAUUAUUGGGCGUAAAGAGCUCGUAGGCGGUCUGUCGCGUCGGCUGUGAAAUCCCGGAGCUCAACUCCGGGUCUGCAGUCGAUACGGGCAAACUGGAGUACUGCAGGGGAGACUGGAAUUCCUGGUGUAGCGGUGAAAUGCGCAGAUAUCAGGAGGAACACCGGUGGCGAAGGCGGGUCUCUGGGCAGUAACUGACGCUGAGGUGCGAAAGCGUGGGGGAGCGAACAGG
rnacentral:rRNA from 1 species